rnacentral:tRNA from 1 species
GGGCUCGUGGUCUAGGGNUUAUGACGUCGCCUUGACAUGGCGAAGAUCGCAGGUUCAAUUCCUGCCGAGCCCACCA